CAAUAUUUAAUUAAUCCAAUUAAUCAAACCCGGUCUGUGAAUUAAUUAAUCCAAUUAAUUAAUUCGGGAUUAUAAAUAAGAAAUUCAAUUAAUUAAUUUAUCCAACGAUUGUUAAAUUAAUCAAUUAACAAUUUGCAGUCUUCCAAUUCUCUUUUGUGUGCGACCCAUUAGGUUCCCGACCACGAUGCCUAACGUCGUGAAAUAUUAUUUUGAUCUAAUCAAAAUCGAUAAAUUAAUACACCAUUUUAAUUUAUCGUCAAUUCACAUUCGCCGUCCCUGAUUGACAUCUAGCAAUGUGUCAGGGCAAUACAUGUGACGGGAAAUGUCACGUGGUAUGACAAAACCAAANNNNNNNNNNNCACAACCUUCAUACGAUUCUUGACGUACCCGAACGAUGUCGUAUUAGCGGCCCCUUUCAGAGCAACAUCCAACACCGCCAAAGUGUGAC
rnacentral:lncRNA from 1 species